ensembl:lncRNA MIR9-3HG MIR9-3 host gene
GGGCUCAGGGAGUGGGGCUUGCCCCUGCUCAGUGCGUGGGGGUCCCGGCCCCACACAGUGCUAGGGUCCCUCUCGAGUUUCUCAUCUGCCUUCAGGUCACUUUCCACCCUGAUGCCUUGGCUUGUCCUGAAGCUCAGGGCCCCUGUAGCUUGGGAAACCUCCCAAGCUCCCCAGCGAGUGGCUGUAGACCAAGGAAGGGACCCUGCCCGGCUUCAGGGAAGAAAGGAAGAAAGUUACUCCCCUGCUGGUGCCUCCCUCCUUGGCGCGCUUCCCACCUGCGAUCGGCGCCCUCUUCGCAGUCACGAACUCGCCAGCAGCUAGCAGCACUGACUAGUAGGAGGGCCCGCCGGAGGAGAGGUUUCUCUUCCUCAGAAGAAAUCAGAUGCUGUUCAGAGCACGAAGGCUAGAAUUUUACCCUGGUUCUCAUGCUACCUUGCACCCAGGUUGGAUCCUGAGUACAGUUUUUGGCAGGAAGCCCCAGAGAGAUUGGUGAGGGUGAUUUCCCAGGAAGACGCAGUGUGCUCUGACUUCUGUGACAGUGAGCAACGGGACCAGUGGAUGUCCAGAUGCUGGCAAUGAGACAUGCUCUGGAGUCAGAAGACAGCGAAAAGAGAAGCAGAAGCCCCGGUGGCAAGAGUCUGAAGCAGGAAGGAUGACUGUAGCCUGUGGAUUGUACUGCAGUAGGAAACUGUCCUAGCAAGGCUCCACUUUGCCCCAGCUUCAAGCUGGAAAGGAGGAGAACAUGAAACAUUGCUUGAAGACAAUGGCCGAGACAGCAGGUCCCACCCUGCACAGCCACCAGCAUCUCUCCCCUCAGCCCUGUCUCCUCUUCUGCAGUUGGGAUCUGCACAUUUAAGCCUGAAAUUGUCCUGUGAAGUGAAGUAUGAUCGGACAGCCUCUUUUCAGCUUUUAUGACAAUGGAGACAGAGGAAUUGUGGCUCUUGCCAAGGUCACAGGAUUGGAAUACAGAGCCAAGCCACCCCAGGACAUGCAAGAGCCUCAGAAGGGAAAAAAGCCCAGCAGGAAGGGAGAACAAGUAGCCUCUGUCCUGAAGUUGUAACAGCCAGGGGCCAGGAUGGAGGAGGAGGACCCCAUAAUCUGCCCAUCUGGGACUUGGCAGGGGACCUGGGAAAAUGUACCCCAACCCAUCCCUUAAGGGCCUUUGUCUUUGGCCCAUUGGCCUAGCAUCUACUUC